rnacentral:SRP_RNA from 1 species
GUGGGAAAUUGCUGGCCCGCCCGUUCCAAGUGGGAAGUUGAACCGAGGGGCUUGGGCUUCGUGGUUCUUAGAGUGGAGGGCAAUGCGUGAGGCUGGUUUCACAGAACAGCGAACACCUCCCGCUCCUCACAGUGGGAAGGAUAACAGGGCCGGUGCUCC